CACGUGGGUAACCUACCCAUCAGAGGGGGAUAACACUUGGAAACAGGUGCUAAUACCGCAUAACAGUUUAUGUCGCAUGGCAUAAGAGUGAAAGGCGCUUUCGGGUGUCGCUGAUGGAUGGACCCGCGGUGCAUUAGCUAGUUGGUGAGGUAACGGCUCACCAAGGCCACGAUGCAUAGCCGACCUGAGAGGGUGAUCGGCCACACUGGGACUGAGACACGGCCCAGACUCCUACGGGAGGCAGCAGUAGGGAAUCUUCGGCAAUGGACGAAAGUCUGACCGAGCAACGCCGCGUGAGUGAAGAAGGUCUUCGGAUCGUAAAACUCUGUUGUUAGAGAAGAACAAGGACGUUAGUAACUGAACGUCCCCUGACGGUAUCUAACCAGUAAAGCCACGGCUAACUACGUG
rnacentral:rRNA from 1 species